rnacentral:lncRNA from 1 species
AGAUGAUUUGCAUAUACCAUCACCAAACUGCCCCAAACCUACUACUUUAAAAUAUUCCAUUGCUGUUUGGUACAACGUUCAAUAGAAGAACAGAUGCAAAAUUAACAUUUCCUGCAUUGUCAAACUGAUCAAAGAUGCAGCUCAGAAGAGAGAGGAAACGCACGGUCAGGUGACGUUUCCUGUAUGUGUCUAUAAAUAGCCGUGUGAGAAGGUUUACAUGGCGUUCAGCUGAGAUAUCUGUACAAUUUCUGUCGUCUGCUUGGCUCAGGUGUAAGAAAGGGACUGCGCAGAGCAGCUGACAACAAAAUACGUCUGCUCUCGAGUUUGAAAAAUACAUAGCUUGUUCCUGCUAAAUUAACUGGUGCUGAUGAGAGCUUGCCAUUCACUGAGCUGGGGGAAGGCCACCGAAUCCCUGCCGACACAGGAAUAACAUUGAAAUGACCCAUUCUCCUCCCGAUGCUGCUUCUCAGCAGGUGAAAACUCCAAGCGAGAAAUCCCCCCCACCAAAGAGCUGGCUAUGGUGCACAGAGACCUCCCACGCACAACAUAAGAUACCGGCUUAUUUUUUCAUUAGGAGAGAAUGGUCCCUGCUGGUCUGAACUUAACCUUGCAAGUAUUUGGCAGCAGUGCGAUACAUGCGGACCAGUGCCUGGCUGCGGCUCAUGUCAGCCACAGGGACCGAGCAGAGACCCUUUCACGCAUCUCCUGGAUUGUCCAAGAAUCAGAAACAGCUGUUGUGGAGGAAGAAGGAAUGGAGCAUGGGGAAAACUACAGACUCAUCACGGGGGGCAGCUGGGCAUCAAAUGACUGACUUCAACAUGCAAACCUGUUCCUAGCUGGAAAAACUGAGGCAGAUCCUGAGCACAGCUUUAUGCCAGAGCAGGUUGCCCUAUGGGCUGGUGGUGCAGACUGGGACAGCGAGAAGUUCAGCCCCUGGACAAAACCAUGUGGCCCAGCACACUGUCCCAUUCUGCUGACUUCUCCGUAUGAGCAUCGUUCUUUCUGAUUUAUGCUACUUCUUAUCUGCCUGCCUUCCCCUUAUGUGUUUCUUCCUCCGCAGUUCUUAAUA